AGCAAAUCUGGUUCAAUGUAAGAGAGUAGAUGAUUUGUAAAUCUUUAGUUAACUAUCUUUCUUGUUUACAUGUAAUGUAAAAUAUGUAGCAUUAAAUGCAGAUAAUCAUAAACGAAUGUAUAUAAAAAGUAGAUUUUAUUGAGUACAGUUAGUACAUUUCAUUCUGAAGUAGCAAUAUAUUUGUAGAAACACUACGUAAGGGCUUUAAAUAAAGGAUGUCUUUUAUGGUAGGUAUAGCAUUUCCUUUCAGAAUUGUAAAACAGCUUGUGUGCCCUGUUCGAUAAGUUUAAAAUUAAAAUGAAAAGAAAAAAAGAUUGAAAUACAUAUUAAAUUUAAGUUAGGUUUAAAAUGAAUUAAUUUAGAAUGUUUUCAAUUCAUUUUUCCCAGAGUAGAGUUCCAUAAAUGUAAAAUACACAGUGUAACUAUGUUAUCAAAUGCAAAAAGACU